rnacentral:lncRNA from 1 species
GAUGAUGCUGGCCUCAAAAUGAGUUAGAGGGGAUUCCCUCUUUUUCAUUGAUUGGAAUAGUUUCCGAAGGAAUGCUACCAGCUCCUCCUUGUACCUCUGGUAGAAUUCGGCUAUGAAUCCAUCUGGUCCUGGACCUUUUUGGUGACCAGUUCAUGGACCUCCCAUUGGCUUGAGAAAGUAGCCGUCUUGCUGAGAGACAGGAGAGAAGUCUAUAAAGGAUAUAAACCGGGCCAGGCGCGGUAGCUCAAGUCUGUAAUCCCAGUACUUUGGGAGGCCG